UACAGAGGUCUCAAGCGUUGUUCGGAUUCAUUGGGCGUAAAGGGUGCGUAGGCGGCGCGGUAAGUCGGGUGUGAAAUCUCGGGGCUUAACUCCGAAACUGCAUUCGAUACUGCCGUGCUUGAGGACUGGAGAGGAGACUGAAAUUUACGGUGUAGCGGUGAAAUGCGUAGAUAUCGUAAGGAAGACCAGUGGCGAAGGCGGGUCUCUGGACAGUUCCUGACGCUGAGGCACGAAGGCCAGGGGAGCAAACGGG
rnacentral:rRNA from 1 species